AACGAAGUCUUCGGACUUAGUGGCGGACGGGUUAGUAACGCGUGGGAACGUGCCCUUUACUUCGGAAUAGUCCCGGGAAACUGGGUUUAAUACCGAAUACGCCCUUCGGGGGAAAGAUUUAUCGGUAAAGGAUCGGCCCGCGUUGGAUUAGGUAGUUGGUGGGGUAAUGGCCUACCAAGCCGACGAUCCAUAGCUGGUUUGAGAGGAUGAUCAGCAACACUGGGACUGAGACACGGCCCAGACUCCUACGGGAGGCAGCAGUGGGGAAUCUUAGACAAUGGGGGCAACCCUGAUCUAGCCAUGCCGCGUGAGUGAAGAAGGCCUUAGGGUCGUAAAGCUCUUUCGCCAGGGAUGAUAAUGACAGUACCUGGUAAAGAAACCCCGGCUAACUCCGUGCCAGCAGCCGCGGUAAUACGGAGGGGGUUAGCGUUGUUCGGAAUUACUGGGCGUAAAGCGCACGUAGGCGGACUUGAAAGUUGGGGGUGAAAUCCCGGGGCUCAACCUCGGAACUGCCUUCAAAACUCCAAGUCUAGAGUUCGAGAGAGGUGAGUGGAAUUCCGAGUGUAGAGGUGAAAUUCGUAGAUAUUCGGAGGAACACCAGUGGCGAAGGCGGCUCACUGGCU
rnacentral:rRNA from 1 species